GACGAACGCUGGCGGCGUGCUUAACACAUGCAAGUCGAACGGAAAGGCCCUGCUUUUGUGGGGUGCUCGAGUGGCGAACGGGUGAGUAACACGUGAGUAACCUGCCCUUGACUUUGGGAUAUCUUCAGGAAACUGGGGCUAUUACCGGAUAGGAGCUCCUGCUGCAUGGUGGGGGUUGGAAAGUUUCGGCGGUUGGGGAUGGACUAGCGGCUUAUCCGCUUGUUGGUGGGGCAGUGGCUUACCAAGGCUUUGACGGGUAGCCGGCCUGAGAGGGUGACCGGCCACAAUGGGACUGAGAUACGGCCCAGACUCCUACGGGAGGCAGCAGUGGGGAAUAUUGCACAAUGGGCGGAAGCCUGAUGCAGCAACGCCGCGUGCGGGAUGACGGCCUUCGGGUUGUAAACCGCUUUCGCCUGUGACGAAGCGUGAGUGACGGUAAUGGGUAAAGAAGCACCGGCUAACUACGUG
rnacentral:rRNA from 1 species